CCUACGGGCGGCAGCAGUGAGGAAUCUUGGUCAAUGGACGAGAGUCUGACCCAGCAAAGUAGCGUGAAGGAUGACUGCCCUAUGGGUUGUAAACUUCUUUUAUAAAGGAAUAAAACGAGGCACGUGUGCCUUUUUGCAUGUACUUUAUGAAUAAGGAUCGGCUAACUCCGUGCCAGCAGCCGCGGUAAUACGGAGGAUCCGAGCGUUAUCCGGCUUUAUUGGGUUUAAAGGGAGCGUAGAUGGGUUGUUAAGUCAGUUGUGAAAGGUUGCGGCUCAACCGUAAAAUUGCAAUUGAUACUGGCAGUCUUGAGUACAGUUGAGGUAGGCGGAAUUCGUGGUGUAGCGGUGAAAUGCUUAGAUAUCACGAAGAACCCCGAUUGCGAAGGCAGCUUACUAAACUGUGACUGACAUUGAUGCUCGAAAGUGUGGGUAUCAAACAGGAUUAGAUACCCCAGUAGUC
rnacentral:rRNA from 1 species